rnacentral:rRNA from 1 species
UACGUAGGCAGCAAGCGUUGUUCGGAGUUACUGGGCGUAAAGGGUGUGUAGGCGGUUCUUUAAGUUUGGUGUGAAAUCUCCCCGGCUCAACCGGGAGGGUGCGCCGAAUACUGAGGGACUCGAGUGCGGGAGAGGAAAGUGGAAUUCCUGGUGUAGCGGUGAAAUGCGUAGAUAUCAGGAGGAACACCGGUGGUGUAGACGGCUUUCUGGACCGUAACUGACGCUGAGACACGAAAGCGUGGGUAGCAAACAGG